GUCCAGGGUAGCCUAGUGGACAUGGCAUCUGCCCGGUAAGCGGAACACUGUGGGUUCGAUUCCCAUCCCUUGACA